ensembl:lncRNA
GUGAGUCCUUCCUCUGUUUGGGCCUCAGUUCAUCUCUCAGCUCACUAAGGCCCCUUCUUCCUAGUCAGACAAUCUGUGAUUCAAAAUAUAGCACUAAGUGGGGUUCCCAGUAACAAAAAUCACUAGCAUUUCUUAAAGGCUUUCCAUGUCCUGGCACUAUGCUUAGCAUUUUGUACACAUUUCCCAUUUAGUUCUCAUAACAAUAAAUUAAAUAUUAUUUUCCCAUUUUUACAUGAGGAAACUGAGGCAGAGAGAGCUUAAGUGACUUGUCAUAGCUAGUAAGGGGCAACCCUUACAUUUAAUCAGCAUAGCAUACUGUUUCCCUAAGUAUCAUGGAGAGAUCAAAAAGAAACUGAGGCUCAGAGAGAGCUGUGACUCCCCUCUGUCACACAGCCAGAACCCAGGUCCCCUGGCUCCCAGGCCACUACCCUCUCCUGGCCUCUCUUUCUAGAGCUGCUAGCAAUGCCCCCUCCAAACCGGUCUGGCCAGGGCAAAGGGAGGGCUUUCCCUGAAGGGUCCUGGCCCUUUAAAGUAACCUGACCUGCAGCGGCACACCUGGACUAGAGAGAAACGCAAGGGGUGGGGGGCGCUCCAAGAAAAGGUGCCUGGUGCUGGCUGCUCUGGGAGGGUCCAGCCCUGCCCACCUCGCAGCCUUCGGUGGAAGGACCAGGCCCAGAUCUGUGAUAGGUUUCAUUUGACCUUGGAGUAUUCAUUUUUUUUGCUGACCUUUAAAAAUCAGAAUUUAGGUUUUCUCUUCUAACAUCAGAAGGUAUGGAAACACCAGAUCCCUGUUCUGCAUGGCCUAAGCGCUCAUUCACCGUGGUCCCCACCCUCAUUUACAAGCUUCGCCCGGAGGCUGAGCCCAGCUCUGACACACAUGCACACAUUUACAACCUGCUCUGGCUUCUGCACGUGCACACUCAGCCCUCCAGCUCCUCUGUCCCCUGGCGCUCUGCAUCCACAGAGCAGCGGCCUCCAGGCCCUGAGACCGUCUGACCUGCUCCUGGCUGGAACAAUUGCCCACUGAGCGUUUAGUUCAGUGGCUGAGCCCUGGAGAGGGGAAGGUUUUGCCCCCAGUCAGGGAUCAGGGGAAGUUCUGUAUGAGGUAUGUUUGAUCGUAUUCUAAGUUACAGAAAAUUCGCAGUUGGGAAUCCAGCUCUACCCACUGCAAAAGGGAAUGAGGGACCCCACAUUUGAUCGAGUGGACAGGACUAUUGUGCCCUGACCAGUUACUUCGUUACUCUGAGCCUUGGCUUCUGCAUUCCUAUGAGAACUGCCCCCAGCCAGAGCACUUGAUUAAUCAGCAGGUGGAUUAUCUGGGCUCUGACUUCAAUACAAGGAGCCUCAGCUCUUUUCUUUGUGAAAACACCAUCACUUACUCGGUAACAGAGGCUGUACUGCAGACAGGAUUCCAGGAAUCUGUUUUGUCAACUGCAUGGUCUCUCUUCGACUGCCUCUAUGAGGAUUGUCUCUACUCUGCGUUAGCUGUGUGACUUUAGGCAAGUGACUCAACCUCUCUGAGCCUCCAUUUCUUCAUCUAGGAAGUGGAUAUAUUAAUAGCACCAACUUCAUAGGGUUUUUGUAAGGAUUUAGUGAGAUAUUAGGUGAAGGGCAUAGUGCAGUGCCUGGAGCACAGUAUGUGUUCAAUGGACGUUAGCAAUAUUUUGCUCGACACUCAAGCACCCACUUUCAGAAAUUAAUCUAGCACGAAAGCCACAUUACUAGUACCAUACCUACUUUCUUGACAGCUCUUUAUACCAGGAACAGGCUAAUACUUACAAAGGGUUCCGAUGGUUACAAUCUUCACAACUGCCCCACGAAAGGAUCUGGCCAGAAGUGGCAUCCGCAUUUGGCAGGUGGCAGGUAAAGCGAGGCACUAGUGGUCAGACACGAAGACAGGCAGAGCUGGGCUAGAACCUGGGUCUCCAGCCUCCCGGCCAGGAUUCUGCUUCCUACGUCCUGUUGACCACCCGCUGAGAUGAUCAGCUGAAGUGGAUGAUUCAGAAGCCCCUCGAAUGACCUAGGCUCCUGGGACACCAUUGGGAACGCCAAUUCUUGCCAUGCAGACGGCAAAUUUGAUGAAGGCCUGGAGGUCCACCAGGAGGUAGUUUCCAGCAAGAAGGAGACGGAGGCCAGGCUGUCCCACAGAGGCCGGCCUUUUUCCCAGGACUAUGACAAGGCACGGCUGCCCUUCUUUCUCCACUGGGAGACUGGGGAGGAGGACGUCUGAGGCCUGCCAGGUGUCCCACUCUGUGCAGAAGCGCAUGGUGAUUAAGACCAAGGAUCCUUGCAGCUACGAGGGGCUGAGGCAAGACCUCCACCAGCUAAGCCAGUGGCCACACAGCAGAGUCCCCACUCCCUUGGGUUCCAACUUCCAUCUCCAAAACCACUGUCUCCUCUGCGUUAAGGGGUGCAUCCGUGUCCACACCUGCAAAGUAGAAGAAUAAAACAGAAUGAAGCUGUUUAGUGAAAACACCUUGCAAACACUCAAACCGCCAGGGUCAGAUCCAGUAUAGCAUCAGCAAGUGGAGUGGAAAACAGCAUCCAGGCCCCCUGGUCCAGUAUUCAGUCCUCUGUGCUCUGUGCCCUUCUGUCCCCCGGCCCACGGCAUUCAGCCCCCAUAGUGUGACCUUGCCCCCCCCGCCCAGCACCUUCCUGGUGGACACGGCCACCUCCACUCAAUCAGAGGUCUCCCUGGCCACGCUCGGAGUUCCUGGACUUCAGCAGCAUGGAGCAUGCACCCUGCAGGAGAUGGUCCUGUGCACAGCCGCCCUGGCCCCCCAGCCAUCCCAGACCUGCUGAGUCUGCUGCAGAAUACCCACACCAACACUCUACCCAAGGGGGCUGUGGGCAUAGCUCGGGGAGGGAGGAAUGAAGAGGAUAAUGGCAGCAAACAC